ACAUCACCCUAAGGGCGUGGGUGUCGGAGUCUUGCAGGCUGGGGUCCCAGGUGAGAGAUGCCAGCAGGGAGCUCUAGAUGGGGAACUGGGUGAGCCUGGCUCGGUAAGGGCGUGCUCAGAACACCCCAUCCCCGAACACGGUCUUGUGUGAUAAAAUGUCACGCAAGAAGAAUCUGAAACCGCGAGAAGAGGAGGACACGGCCAGACUGCACCGAACCCCGGCACCUCUGUGGGGAAAAGCAGGUCAGGCUGAGCGGGGCCGGCGGGGACACGCGCUCCUGGGCUUCUCCAGAGUCUGCCGGGGCCGGGCCCGGGACCGAGGCUGGGACGCGCUGUGCAGUCCCACCCCUCACACCCCUCGCACGCCUGGAAACACCCUCGGGGUAACACAAGCCGGGGUUGAGUUUCUUGAAGAGAAGCUGGCUGCAUCCUGGAGCCAGGGAAAGAGGAGCACAGGGGCCAAGCGGUCCAGGGCCACGGAGGAGCAGGACCCCUGGGGAAAGGCCCGGGUCUAGGCCGGGGCCAGGGGACCGUGGUGGAGACCUCAAAAAUGGCAGAACACGGAAGCAGGGCGAGAAAAGUAAACGUAGUCCUUGCGGCAGUUUGAAAUACACGCGGGUAAACGCUGGGUGACUCCGCCCGGAUGCAGAGUGGGGGUCUGUGUCUCUCCCCACAGGCUGCAGGGACCGGGCUCUGGGUAACCAGCAGAAGGUAACAGAACGAGGCUGCUUUUCCUCCAGGCUGUUCUGGUGUCCGCGCGUGGCUUGUGCGCUGACUCCUGACUUGGAGCGCCGCGUGGCCAGAGAAAUCUGGGUGCCUCCAGGCCACCAUGGUGAGAGGAGAGGCCACCGCACGAACGGAAGAAGCGAUGGAGACGGUCUUUACGACCUAAGAACAGAAAGAGUUUCUUAUACACAAUCCGAAAAGUAAAAAUUGAUUGAUUGAUUGAUUGAGAUGGAAUCCCACUCUGUCGUCCAGGUUAGAGUGCAAUGGCUUGAUCUCGGCUCAUUGCAACCUCCGCCUCCCGGGUUCAAGCGAUUCUCCUGCCUCAGUCUCCCGAGUAGCUGGGAUUAUAGGCGCCCGCCACCACGACUGGCUAAUUUUUAUAUUUUUAGUAGAGACGCAGUUUCACCGUGUUGACCAGGCUGGUCUUGAACCCCUGACCUCAGGUGAUCCGCCUGCCUCGGUCUCCCAAAGUGCUGGGAUUACAGGCGUGAGCCACCGUGCUGGGCCAAAAAUCAAUUUUAAAACGACCACAUGAAAAAUAAAUCUCCUGUAUCACAGAGCAUGUUCUGAGGAAAAUGAAAGCCACAGAUCCAGAAGAUAUUUGUGACACAUAUGAAAAACAAAAACUCAUAUUCAAAACAUACACAGCAUUGCUAUGAAUCAUUAAGAAAAAUGAUUUCGUCUCCUCUACAGGAGCCUGAGUGAAGGACAAGGACAGAUCAUUAUAAACCAGGGAGCUUGAAGAGCUAGUUAACAAGCACAGAAAAUAUGUUCCCCCACACUGUUAAUCAAGAAAAUUAAAACUGUAAUGAGAUGCCGCAUUGUAUCCAUGGGAUUUCUAAAAGUACAAAGUUCCACAAUACCCGUUGUUGACGGAGCAGGGAAACCGCAGGAGCCUGCAGGAGAUGAGAUUGUAAAUGUGCAAGGACAUUUUGGAGAAGAGUUGACAACAUCUCACUCACGUGUAUCAAGCCAAGUGCCGAAAGAAGAAUUGGUUGUCAUAAAGAAAACAGAAACCCAGAAUGGAUGUAGCUUAUCCCUCCGAUGGAAAGUUACAAAGAAGUUAAAAUGAAUGGGCUGCAUCUCUGUGUAACAAUUUGGAUCAAUAUCAAAGACACAUUUGUUAAAGCAAGGUGUACAAUGAAACCUGCAACAUGAUUUGUCUGUUUAGUAAAACACAGAAAAUCUAACUCCGCCUGGCUUACGAACACACACAUGUGUUAGAAUUUGGGAAAAGGAAAGGGAGGGAGGCCGGCUACACGUGAACUUUUGGAAAAUCUCAGAGGGUCUGGGGCACCAGGUGGAGACCAUGGCAGCCUUCAGGGAUAUGAGAAGGAUGUGUUUGCUUCCCCUUCUGCCAUGAUUGGAAGUUUCCUGAGACCCCUCCAGCCAUGCUGAACUGAUUUCCUGAAGACACCAUCCCAGUCAAGUGGUCUGCCUCAUACUGAGCCACCAGACCACCCAGCAUGUCCUCACCCGCGUGGACAGAUGACAGGGGGCUCUGAGCAUGCCCCAGUGCACCUUACGCACCUGUGAAGGUUGGGAGCCUGAGUGCAGCUCCUGUGGCACUGCCCGUGGCCAGGGAGAUGCCUCCUCAGUGCUCCUGACCCUCGGUGGAGGACCGGCCAGCGUGUGUGCCGACAGUGUGUCCACACAGGUGUGCUGCGCCCAAUGGGCAAGUCGGAAACAAAGGAAAAUGCUCUCUGAAGGAAAAGGCAAAGCAAUUUGGAUUUCUGCGAGAAAAUGAGACUGCAUGUGGCACUGUAAAUACCCUUGCUGCUGAACUUCUCGCUCCCCCCAGAUACACCCUUCAUAUUGACAUGUCUAGAACCUUAAACUGAACCAAGUUGAAAAGUGAGAUUAAUUAGGGCUGAGUUAACAGUUAACACAUACAAUGAAAUAUUGAAUAAGGCUUACUGAGCAAACAAGAAUAUACAGAAGUGGAGGAGACAAAGAGGAUAUUAAAAAUGCAGACAGUGAUGAGGCAGAUAGCUGGGACAAAUAAUGAAAAAUAGUAAAGGAGAUAAGGCAGAUAUUGGAGGAGCAAAGAGUCUCUGAAAUAGAUAUCGGUAUUGAAAGAUGCUAAACACGCUUCUAAAGAGACUUUCUAGCCGACACAGGGAGCUCACUGAUGGAUGAAGUAGAAACAUUUUUAAAUGGAAUCAAACAGGGCAAAGCGGGAGAAGAAAAAGAAGUAGGUAAACCAGUAAAUUAACUUUUCUCGUGUGUGCUGUGUACUAUUUGUGAGUGAGCAAUGAACGCUGUGGCUCCCUGGAGGGGCUGUGGUGGGAAGUUUCACUGCGAUCAAGUAGAGGUGGUGCCUUUGGACCUCUUCUCCUGAACCUGCAGGGAGAGGCGCAGAAUAUUCACAAGGUGAAGAUGCAACAAUUCAAAUGAGUGUCCAGGUUUUCAGGGUGGUUGCUAAACCCCAAAAGACCGAUAGCUUCGGGCAAAAGACUGCAGAAAGAACAGCUUUACAUUUUUACGGAAGCAAUGGGAAAUAUACCCUGUAAGCCUUGAAAAAUUCCCGAAGGGAUUCCUGUUCAUUCCUGUGGAUCCUAAUGGGCCAGCAUAGACCUGUUAGUCAAAAGAGGAUUUAUCUACAUUGCACACUCAUUCAGGCAGGCAGGGAAGUCAACGCCACUUUCAGAUGUUUGUAGAGCAUGAACUCUGUCCGUUCCCACGCCCUCCAAAGGCUGUUACACAGGGAUGCCCGCUUCUGGACAGAAGUGAUUCAUGCAGGAUGAGAACCAUGACCACAGAAGAUUUUGUGCAUGUGGUUAUUUCAAUAUUUAAUUUAAGUGUAUGCAUGAGUGUUCAGGAUAAAAAUGCUUGGAGUGUACUUUAAUUCCAUUAAAAAUGUAUAC
ensembl:lncRNA NHIP neuronal hypoxia inducible, placenta associated